rnacentral:lncRNA from 1 species
GAUAGAUGGGGGAGAGGCACCAGGGCAGAUGGAGGCCCUGGGAUCUGCCUCCAGGAAGGGACCCCCACUCUGCCCACUCCCUCCGUGGGACACUUGGUCACCCCUGGGUGGGUGCUGGGGCCAGGGCCACCCCCAGGCUACAACCCGGGAGGGGGAACCCCCCCGGGCAGGGCCGGAACUUGCCCUCAGCACAAAAAAAAGGGGGCAACAAUGGGCUAAGAGGACAGGGUGGUCCCCGGUCGUGACAGUGGCUUCCAGGGGACUGCCAGGUCACCUAGUGGUGGCUUUGCUCCGAACUGGGGGAUUCGGUCACCCUGCUGGGCCCGGGAGAUGGUGGCUCUGGGUGAGAUGGGAUGAGCCGGGAUGGGGCAUCAGUGAGUCCUUCCUCACACACACGUGUAACUCCUCUGAAUGGCGUUUGCAUGCUUUCUCUGAAAAGCCUAAAUAUAUACUCGCCUUCCCAUAAAACCCCUCAUGUGAAUCCAAAAUAUACACGGGGAGCAGGCUGAGGGGGGAGCAGGGGUAGCAGCUGGGGCGGGGGCUUUGCCUUCCCAGCAUCGCCGGUUUAGGAGGGGAAAUCGGCCAAAUUCAGCUAAAAAUGGAGAUGCAGCCCCUGGCCUGGAGCACGUCCUGCGGCUGAGCAUCCUCCCAGUGGGGCACUCGGGGCAGCCCUCCUCUUUGGGGGGUGCAACAUCGCCGGAGGGGGUCUGCCCCGAGGUCCCCACCUGAGUCACUUCUCUCUGUUUUAAUUGUGCUGUAAUUAGAACGAUCCAAGCUAACAAUAUUUUUUUUUAAGUGCGUUAGUAUCAUCAGCAAGAAGCUGGGGGGCAGAGCAAAACCCGAGGAAAGGCUUUGGGAUGGGGCAGGGACCUGGGGAGGUUCCUGAGGCAAGGGGUAUCCCUAGGCCGGAGGGUCCCUGGGGCAAAGGCGGGGUCCCUGGCAGGGGUGUCUCUGGGGCAGGGAGUCCCUGGGCAGGGGUCCCUGGACAAGGGGAGCGUGGAGCCGCGGGCCGGGGGCGCGUUGCUGGGGCUGCACCGCCCCGCCGUGGCCGCGGCCACCCCUGCAGCUCCGCCGCUGCCCCUGGAUGGAGCCUGGAGGCAGAAGGCCCCGUAGGUCCCCACCAAGGGGUUGUCACCCGAGCGGUGGCCCCUGAGGAGCGACGGGGAGAGAGGUGCCCCCUACAAGCGAGUCGGGGUCCCGCGGGGGGAGCGGCCGCAGCCCGGCUGCCACCGCGUCCUUUUCUGCCCCACUGCGACCAUGGUCCGCUUCUGUCGGGUCAGGCAAUUCUCCGUGAGCCAGGAAACAUCACACCACCCAACACUGCUGGGACACCCCCACGCUGGCUGCUGGGUGCAGCUCCCCAGGCCCCUCAGACCGCCCUUCCUCCCCACACCCCAGAGCACGAAGAGGAGGAGGAGGAUACAAAUGGCUUCUGCACAACCACCAGCUCUGCAGAGCACCAGCCCCAGCCUGCGAAGAGGGGAGGAAGGUGA